AGUGAACGCUGGCGGUAGGCCUAACACAUGCAAGUCGAACGGCAGCACAGUAAGAGCUUGCUCUUACGGGUGGCGAGUGGCGGACGGGUGAGGAAUACAUCGGAAUCUACUUUUUCGUGGAGGAUAACGUAGGGAAACUUACGCUAAUACCGCAUACGACCUACGGGUGAAAGCAGGGGAUCUUCGGACCUUGCGCGAUUGAAUUAGCCGAUGUCGGAUUAGCUAGUUGGCGGGGUAAAGGCCCACCAAGGCGACGAUCCGUAGCUGGUCUGAGAGGAUGAUAAGCCACACUGGAACUGAGACACGGUCCAGACUCCUACGGGAGGCAGCAGUGGGGAAUAUUGGACAAUGGGCGCAAGCCUGAUCCAGCCAUACCGCGUGGGUGAAGAAGGCCUUCGGGUUGUAAAGCCCUUUUGUUGGGAAAGAAAAGCAGCAGGUUAAUACCCCGCUGUUCUGACGGUACCCAAAGAAUAAGCACCGGCUAACUUCGUG
rnacentral:rRNA from 1 species